GUGCCCACUUUGGCAGCACAUAUACUAAAAUUGAAAUGAUGCAGAGAAGAUUAGUGUGGCCCAUGUGUGAAGAUGACAUGCAAAUUCAUGAAGUGUCUCAUAUAAAA
ensembl:snRNA U6 U6 spliceosomal RNA